rnacentral:rRNA from 1 species
ACUGCUCAGUAACACGUGGCCAACCUACCCUGAGGUCGGGGAUAAACCCGGGAAACUGGGUAUAAUACCCGAUAGAUCUAGAUUGCUGGAAUGCUUUUAGGUCUAAAGUUCCGGCGCCUCAGGAUGGGUCUGCGGCCUAUCAGGGUAGUAGUGGGUGUAAAGUACCUACUAGCCUACGACGGGUACGGGUUGUGAGAGCAAGAGCCCGGAGAUGGAUUCUGAGACACGAAUCCAGGCCCUACGGGGUGCAGCAGGCGCGAAACCUUUACAAUGCUGGCAACAGCGAUAAGGGGACCUCGAGUGCUACGAUACAAUCGUGGCUGUCUAGUUGCCUAAAAAGCAAUUGAUAGCAAGGGCCGGGCAAGACCGGUGCCAGCCGCCGCGGUAACACCGGCGGCUCGAGUGGUAACCGCUAUUAUUGGGUCUAAAGGGUCUGUAGCCGGCUUAGUUAGUCUCUUGAGAAAUCUGGCCGCUCAACGGUCAGGCGUUCAGGGGAUACUGCUAAAGCUCGAGACCGGGAGAGGUGAGAGGUACUUCAGGGGUAGGGGUGAAAUCUUGUAAUCCUUGAAGGACCACCAGUGGCGAAGGCGUCUCACCAGAACGGAUCUGACGGCAAGGGACGAAAGCUAGGGGCACGAACCGGAUUAGAUACCCGGGUAGUCCUAGCCGUAAACGAUACUCGCUAGGUGUCGGCCACGGUGCGACCGUGGUCGGUGCCGUAGGGAAGCCGUGAAGCGAGCCACCUGGGAAGUACGGCCGCAAGGCUGAAACUUAAAGGAAUUGGCGGGGGAGCAC